UGUAUGUGUUUACAAGUUGUCAAAAGAACAUUUUCGUAAAAUAUGCCCGAUUCCUGUUCAGUUUAUGGUUGUUCAAACCGAUCUAAUAAGAAAAAAGAAAACGGUUUGUUAGAAUACCUGAAAGAAGUGGUUCACAAGAGAGAUCGGACAAGAAAUUUAUCAAAAAGACGUCGAAACCGAUGGCUGGCUAUCCUGACUUAACAGUACUGUAUCUUCGAAAGGAGUUAAAUCUUCACACGCUCGUGUAUGUAGCGAUCACUUCGUAAAAGGUUGUCCAAGCAAUGUAAAUGACGAAGACGACAUAGAUUGGGCCCCUAAGUUGAAGCUUGGCAAUCAGAAGAUAAAACAAGCCACAGAGAGCUCUAUAAAGCGCGGUGAGAGAAGCAAACAGAGAUCUGAAACGUCUCCAUUCCGAAGCUGCUAGUGCCUUGCUUGACUAUAAAUGCAGAAGCAAGCUCGUCUGAUUGAUGAAGAAAUCUCUUAUGAACAAACCAUAGAUGAUCCGCACCUAUCAGCCCAAGACAGAAACGACAGAAAACCCGAAUCGUCAGGAUGCAGAAUGCCAGACGGAUCUGACCAGCGAUCUUUUGUGUGCAAUGGAAGAGGAGUUAAACAUAACACGUCAAAAGCUCUCCGAUUUGCAGGCAAAGACAUUAAAUGAAAAUAAAAAACGAUGUUUACACUACAAGAUAGUUGGAAAUGUCCCGGAACUGAAAGCCAGGAAAGGCGGCGAAAUCCUUCGAAAAGUCCUUUAGUUUCACAGAAUAUGGAUCAAUUCCAUCACAGAUAGAUAUUUUGUUUAAAUAUCUUGA
rnacentral:misc_RNA from 1 species